CUCUGUUUCGAUCAGAUACAGGGCGGAAGGAG
ncrna:Geobacillus thermocatenulatus GS-1 L31-Firmicutes ribosomal protein leader